GUGUUUGCUUUGGCAGCAUGUAUACUAAAAUUAGAACGAUACAGAAAAAAUUAGCAUGGCCCCUGCACAAGGAUGACAUGCAAAUUCAUGAUGCAUUCCAUAUGCUU
ensembl:snRNA U6 U6 spliceosomal RNA